CGCCGGAGCCGUAUUUAAAAUAUGGAUUCGUUUUUCAAAUAAACUUUUAAAUGCACACGACAGUACAGUAUCCUGCACUAACACUCACUGCAACGGAAAGACCAAUUGACGAGGUAAGCCUAUCUAAAUGGCAAAAAAAAAAAAAAAUCAUUUAAAAACAUUUUCUCGUUUAUGCCAUCUCCUCGGUGAAAGGCGGGCUAGGCCCCCAAUCACAUGAGCCCGCCCCCAGCUCCGGGCGGAAGAGGCCGGCCCUGCCGCUGGGAAACGCUCCUGGAGGCGAGUGGGCGGGCGACCGUGCCCGGCUAAAAGAUGGCCGUCACUGCCGCCGCCGUCGCCCGGCAGCCGCCGCCCCGGAGGUUACUCUAGGGCCUGCAGGUUCUGCCCGUUCCCGCGGACUGCCGUCGCCUUCUUACCAUGAAGCCAGUGAGUCGCCGCACUCUGGACUGGAUUUAUUCAGUGUUGCUCCUCGCGAUCGUAUUACUCUCCUGGGGAUAUGUCCUCUAUGCGUCAACAGUAGCGGCUCGACGACAGCUAAGGAAGGCGUACCCAGACAAAAUCUUCGGGAUGAAUGAAAAUUUGUAAUUCCUCUAGAUUUUAUUCUAUGCAAAUGCUUCUCUGGCAUGUGUCUAGAUUUAAAGUAAAGUCUAUAAUACAGUUUCCAAUUUUAUUUUUGCCUACAGCCCUUUAUAAUAAACCGCUCUAAUAUGCUAAUUUUUCAACUA